UACAGAGGUCUCAAGCGUUGUUCGGAUUCAUUGGGCGUAAAGGGUGCGUAGGUGGUUAGGUAAGUCGGAUGUGAAAUCCCGGGGCUCAACCUCGGAACUGCAUUCGAUACUGCGUGGCUAGAGUGCUGGAGGGGAGACUGGAAUUUACGGUGUAGCAGUGAAAUGCGUAGAUAUCGUAAGGAAGACCAGUGGCGAAGGCGAGUCUCUGGACAGCAACUGACGCUGAGGCACGAAGGCCAGGGGAGCAAACGGG
rnacentral:rRNA from 1 species